rnacentral:rRNA from 1 species
AUUGAACGCUGGCGGCAUGCCUUACACAUGCAAGUCGAACGGCAGCACGGGUGCUUGCACCUGGUGGCGAGUGGCGAACGGGUGAGUAAUACAUCGGCACAUGUCCUGUAGUGGUGGAUAGCCCGGCGAAAGCCGGAUUAAUACCGCAUACGAUCUCCGGCUGAAAGCGGAGGACCUUCGUGCCUCGCGCUAUAGGGUUUGACGAUGGCUGAUUAGCUAGUUGGUGGGGUAAAGGCCUACCAAGGCGACGGUCAGUAGCUGGUCUGGGAGGACGACCAGCCACACUGGGACUGAGACACGGCCCAGACUCCUACGGGAGGCAGCAGUGGGGAAUUUUGGACAAUGGGCGAAAGCCUGAUCCAGCAAUGCCGCGUGUGUGAAGAAGGCCUUCGGGUUGUAAAGCACUUUUGUCCGGAAAGAAAUCCUUGGCCCUAAUACGGUCGGGGGAUGACGGUACCGGAAGAAUAAGCACCGGCUAACUACGUG